rnacentral:rRNA from 1 species
UACGGGGGGGGCAAGCGUUGUUCGGAAUUACUGGGCGUAAAGGGCUCGUAGGCGGCCAACUAAGUCAUACGUGAAAUCCCACGGCUCAACCGUGGAACUGCCUUAGAUACUGACGGCCUCGAGGGAGAUAGGGGCAUGCGGAACUGUAGGUGGAGCGGUGAAAUGCGUUGAUAUCUACAGGAACUCCGGUGGCGAAAGCGGCGUGCUGGAUCUCUUCUGACGCUGAGGCUCGAAAGCUAGGGGAGCAAACGGG